rnacentral:hammerhead_ribozyme from 1 species
ACCCGGCUGACGAGUUCCAAAUAGGACGAAACGCGCGUCCUGGGU